rnacentral:rRNA from 1 species
GACGAACGCUGGCGGCGUGCUUAACACAUGCAAGUCGAACGAAGAGCGAUGGAAGCUUGCUUCUAUCAAUCUUAGUGGCGAACGGGUGAGUAACGCGUAAUCAACCUGCCCUUCAGAGGGGGACACCAGUUGGAAACGACUGCUAAUACCGCAUACGCUCCAAUCUCGGCAUCGGGACUGGAUGAACGGUGGCCUCUAUUUAUAAGCUAUCACUGAAGGCGGGUAUUGCGUCUGUUUAGCUAGUUGGCGGGGUAACGGCCCACCAAGGCGAUGAUCAGGAGCCGGUCGGAGAGGAUGAAUGGCCACAUUGGGACUGAGACACGGCACAGACGGCUACGGGAGGCAGCAGUGGGGAAACGUGCGGAAGGGACGAAAGUCUGACGGAGAAACGCCGCGUGAGGGAGGACGGCCUUCGGGUUGUAAAGCUCUGUUAAUCGGGACGAAUGGUUUUUGUGCGAAGAGUGCGAGGAUUUGACGGUACCGGAAUAGAAAGCCACGGCUAACUACGUG